rnacentral:lncRNA from 1 species
ACGGGAGCGUUGCUUCCUCAUCCAAGGAUGCUGAUGAUGCCUGGUGGGAUGGAGAGACAUUCUGAAGGUGACAAACCUGCUUCCUUGGCUUCAAGUAAUACUCGAAUGGUUGUUCCGGCAUCCAAGAGCAAUGGUACUCAGCAGAAACCUCCUUUUAAGUUCUUGAUCUAUGGUAGAACAGGGUGGAUUGGAGGUUUGCUGGGGAAACUGUGCGAUAAGCAAGGAAUUCCAUAUGAAUAUGGAAAGGGGCGCCUAGAGGAUCGCUCCUCAGUGGUGGCUGACAUUAAUAAUGUGAAACCAACCCAUGUUUUUAAUGCUGCAGGCGUGACUGGUAGACCCAAUGUCGAUUGGUGUGAAUCUCACAAAACAGAAACCAUCAGAACUAAUGUGGCUGGCACUUUAACAUUGGCUGAUGUUUGCAGAGAGAAUGGGAUCUUGGUGAUAAAUUAUGCUACUGGGUGCAUAUUUGAGUAUGAUGCAGCGCAUCCGGAAGGCUCUGGCAUUGGUUUUAAGGAGGAAGACAAGCCCAAUUUCAUUGGCUCUUUCUAUUCCAAAACUAAAGCUAUGGUAAGUUUUCCUACAUACAUAUGGUAUGAUCUCAUUAUUUUUCAUUAUGAAUUAACUCAAAUAAUGACUUUUAUGUGAAUUUUGAUCAGGUUGAGGAGCUCUUGAGAGAGUAUGACAAUGUAUGCACCCUCAGGGUUCGCAUGCCGAUUUCAUCUGACCUGAGCAACCCGCGCAACUUCAUUACGAAGAUUUCUCGUUAUAACAAGGUAGUAAACAUUCCAAACAGCAUGACUAUUUUGGAUGAGCUUCUGCCAAUUUCAAUUGAGAUGGCAAAGAGGAACCUGAGGGGAAUCUGGAACUUCACAAACCCUGGAGUGGUGAGCCACAACGAGAUCCUUGAGAUGUACAGGGAUUACAUUGACCCCAACUUCAAGUGGGUUAACUUCAAUCUGGAAGAGCAAGCCAAGGUGAUUGUUGCUCCUCGAAGCAACAAUGAACUGGAUGCUUCCAAAUUGAAUACGGAAUUCCCAGAAUUGCUUCCCAUCAAGGAGUCACUAAUCAAGUAUGUCUUCGAGCCAAACAAGAAAUAAACAGGUUUAUGUUUUAGGCAUAGCAGUAAUGUUUCCGGUCUACAUAGGCAUUGCAGUAAUGUUUUAGGCAUGGCAGUAUUACUAUUGUGUUAGUGUGUUUCCUAGAUUUAAAUUUCAAGUACUUAUAGCAUGUUUUAAUUGAUUAUAAUUGCUUUAGUGAGUGACUCCUUUGUACUAGCAGCCUUAGAUAGAUGCACUGGUAUGAAAGUUUGUGAUUUGGAACUUCUGCAUCUGUGUAAGGCUUGUAUUCUUUUAUCAUCUAGAAUGAAAAAUUAAAAUAAGAGACCUUGUUGUCAUUUUGGACAUUAUUAUUGAGAUGUACUUGGAUAUUUAUCUGUAAUAUGAAGUGAAAAAACUGUUAUUUUGAAAGUGAAAAUCUGGGAACAAUAGAUGUUAUUUAUCAUUUUUCUAAACUAAAAGAACUGUCGAUGUAACAAUCGUGUUUAACUUUUAUUUUUUAAUUUCCCUUGGCUUAGGUUUGCUCCAGAAAUUGGGUUUAUGAUGUGAUAUUAACAUUUUGAUGUAGUAACAAACUUGUAUCAUUAAAUUAAGCUAUUCAUUUUUUUUUCUAUGAUUAAAAGCUCAACGGGUUUGGUUUGAGUCAUCACCAUGGGUUAGGUAUGUCUUCGGAAGGUACAGAUUGCUCACCAAGUGACACAUUCUUACUAAUUUUUUUUGCUACAUCGGAAAACCACACAUUCUUACUAAUUAAGCCAACAUGUGUUAGUAGUCACUCAUCAAUGUUAAAUAAAGAACUAAAAGUAGCAUUUUUACCAAGAUAUGUGAUGAAACGAGACGCAAUAAUUUCUAGAUUUAUUCCUAUAAAUUAAUUAAAUGGACAUGGAAAAAGUUUGAUAUUUGCAAUACAUUAGUUGGUGUUUAUACAAUGACUUAAAUUUAUAAAAAGAAUUGAUAAUGGUAGGGGCGAUGGUGGUCAUAAUAAAAGAACCUAUUUUUUUUUAUAAAGAUCUUCAAUUUUUUAUACGAAUUGUACUAAACAAGGGGAAAAUUUGUCUCCAUGCAAGCGAGUACCACGCUUCAAUAACAUAUUAACAUGUCCACGAGUGUCACGCUACAAGCGAAAUUUCUAAUUUAUUUAUUUGAGAACACACACGAGGCUUACUAUUAUUGUUAUUUUUUCCCCCACAUUCUUAUUUUCUUAACGAUUGACAAGGACAUGCAAUUGUAUUUUGGGUGGAGACAUUCAUCAAAAAUAAAAAAUAAAAAGAAAACAAUAGGGUGUAAUUUUCCUCGAGUUGAUGAGAUCAAUCUCCAAUAAAGUUGAAUGGUGCUAAGCUCGGCUAAGAACACAACAGUUAGGUGAAUAUGCAGGACGGAGCAUGGCUAUGGACAAUGAUGGAUUUAGAAAUAUACGGUUGUGGGGGCAAUAUAUAUAUGUGGAAAGUUUGCGUAAUUUUUUUAAUUCUCUAAGUCUAUUAAAUAUUUGUGGCGUCAUGUAUUUAUUCAUAAAACAAGAUUUUUAUAAGUAAUUUUUUCUUUGAAAAACAAUAUUUAUUUACCUGAACACAUGACUGUUACGAGUUCAAGUCCCGACAAAAAUCUCUUGUGAGUAUCUUUUUAUUUUGAAGGUGCACAAGAAUGAAAAACAAGUGAUAAAAAGUAACAAUAUGAUUUGUUGGUUCGCAGCUAAAUGAGAGAGCAAUAAAAAAUAGUGAUAUAUGAAAGCUCUUACAUUUACUUAGAGACUCAUGUUAGAAAAGAGGCAAACUUUACAAAAAAAAAAUUGAGAAAUAAAACGUUGUAAGCCGUUAGAAAAGACGGCCCAAUAGAUAUUGGAAUUAGAACACUAAACAAAAAACGUGUGGCAAACAAGUUAUAGGAUCUCUCCAAGUAUGGGGACACUAAUCAAUUUUUGGUGGGGGCAAUAUUGACAUACUUUUUUUUUUAAAGUAAUAUUGACAUACUUGUAGAUUUAUUGUUUACGAAUUUUGUGGGGGACAUUUGCCCCUCUAAUGUUUAAUGUGGUCCGUCACUAGCUAUGAAGAUAUACCUACAAAUAGGGAUGACAAUAGAACCCGACCCGAUUUUAUAGUUAAAACCCUAUAGAUUGGGUUUGGUAUUGUUAAACCUGCACCCAAACCCGAAUAAUAUAUAUAAAUUACAAAACUACGCUUAUAUAUAUCAUGUUAACAAUUCGGUCAUAUUUGAACAAUAAGAUACCAAUUUUUUUUCAAAAAGAUACAAAACGGAUUUUUCACAACAAUAUAUUUUGAGUUGCGUUUUGUUUUACAAAAAAGUCUAUGCAUCAAGUUAGGUUAGGACAUUAGUUUUGAGGCUACAACGGGUUUGGGUUCGGUAUUAGAGUUCGGAUUUGAGUUUGGGAAAGGAAAAACCCGACCCCGACCCGACUCGUUGCCAUCCCUACCUACAAAAGACAGGGUCGAGUAUAGAUACUUUGGGACUUAAGACAAAAUGAUUUCAAUGGUGCAAAUACCUACUCCACUCUUGCCCUGUACCGCCCUAUGUAAUAGUUAAAUAAUUUGAAUAAUAAUAGUAGUGAAAUGGUAUCUUAAUCUCAUAUGUUUUGGUAAAAUAUAAUUUAAAUCUAAUGUUUCUUAUAACUUUUAUGAUUAUUAAUGUUUGUUUAUAUAUAUAAUUUGAAUUUGAAUUAAUAAUGUGAUUAUUACACUAUAUAUUUAAAGAUUAAUGGAAAAAAAUUAAAGGCUUAAAUAUUCUUGGGGUCCUAAGAUUGUAAGAGUUAUCAAAUCAGGUCCCUGAAAUUUUUUUUUCUGUGGAAUAUCAUCACUGUAAUUUUUUAAAUCAAAUUAAGUCAUUUUUAUCAAUUUUGACCAAUCAACGGUCCAAUAGCGAGUCUAGUCAAUAGAGGUUGUGCACGUGAAUUUUUUUCACAUCAAUUUUAGUCCUUGUAAAAUUUUUAAAUCAUAUUUUCAAUCCCUCUUAAUAAAUUCUUAAUUCCUAAUUCUUCAUCUUCAUCUUAUUUCUCUUCCUCCUUCAUCUUCAUCCAUACCUGAAACCCAAAAAUUCCUUUUCUCAUUCACACUCAUGGUAAUUAAAAUCGGACCGGACCAGUCGGUUCAACCGGUUAGACUGUGAACAUAGCAUGUGGCCGGUCCAAAUAGCCAGCAAAACCGGAUUAACAAAAAACCGGUCAACAACCGGAAAACCGGUCAAUAACCGGGAAAACCGGCGGUUUUAAAUUUGAACUGGUUUAAAGAAAAAGUUAAAAUUCAAUGUGUUUCAUUAUGAUUUGUUCUUGAAUCAAUUAACAUUAGUAAUCACGUACUAAUAUUAUUAGGUUUUAAAUGCUCUCCAACUUCAAAACUAGGUUCCACUUACGGUGAGCCAAUUAUAAAACUGGUUCACCAUGGACCAGUUUUAUUCUAACCGUUAGAUGUAUUUUUUUUUAAUAUUAACGGUUCAGAUUAAUUAAUUAUAAAAGAAAUUAUUUAUUAAAUAUAAAUCACUUUACUAAAACACCCUUUUCACUUUUUCUACCCUAACCCUAGCAGCCUUCUCUCCUACCUCUGAAAAAUCCAUAGCCGCCACCACCCCUCUCCCUCUCAUGGCAGCGCCGCCACCACCACCUCCCUCUCCCUCCCAUGGCAGUGCCGCUCUCUUCUUCUCACUACCGCACCACCACCACCACUCAAACCACCCCACCACCACCUCCACACCCAUCUUAACCCAGAACCAACCCCACUCACUCCUCCCAACGUUUCAUCCUCUUCUCCUAACCCAUCUGAAACUCAACACCACUAAACCCCAACCCACCGCCACCACCAAACCCCCACCAACACCCACGAAACCCCCAAACCCAGCACCACGGCACCACCACUAGUGAAUGCAAACAAGGAUAGAUAAACCGAUCUCAUCUCCGUUCCCCCACCUUCGUCGCCAGCCGUUGGGGCUCCGUCGUCAUCGAACUCGUCCACCACACCCUCAAUGUCUUCAUGGUUUUGACAGAGGAACAACCACCACCACCAGAUUUGGGUUAAUUUGUUUCAGAUCUGGUGGUAGUUUUGACAGAGGAAUAUGGAGAUGAAUGAAGGAAGAUGAGGGAUAGAGGAAGAACCAUAGAAGAAUGAUGGAAGAUGAGGAUUUGGGGUUCUAGAUCUGGGAAGACUUCGUAUUUUUCGAUUGUUAGAAGCUUGAAUCCUUAUGGUAACGAAGCAGAGAUAAUGAAUCCUUUUUUUUAUCUUCUUCUUCUGUGUUCAUCUGAGUUCAUCUGGUUUUUGGUUUUGGGGAUGACGAUUUGUGUGUGGGUUGGUGGUGGGGGAGGAAGUCGAGGGUGUGGGUGGUGGUGGUUAAGGGGUUUUGGAUGCAAGGGUUGCAGUGGUAUUGUGGGGAAGCGGGAGCGUGGUGGCUGAGGAAGGGAAGGUGGUUGUUGUGGUGGCUGGGCGGAGGAGGAUGGUUUCGGCGCGGUUGGUGUCGGCGGCCGGAGAAGGUGGUGGUGCUGUACCAUGGUGAUAGUGGAAGGAGAUGAUGAUGAUGGAAGGAGAAGGAGAAAGAUGGAAAAAAAAAAUUGAGGCAGGGAUAUUUUCGUACUUCAAUUGUAUCAUUGAAACUGGUCCACCAUGGACCAGAUUUAAAAUAUCCCACCGUAGGCGCAGCCUCAAAACUAUAACAAUUACUCCAUCCGUUCCAGAAAGUUUGUUGUUUUGCACCAUUUUUCAAUAUCCCAAAAUGUUUUUUGUUUUAGAAAACCAAUGCAUUUUUUGCUAAUUUUUUCCACUUAUACCCUCAUUUAAUACAUUUUCUCUCACUUAUCACCUUUCAUAUGAACCAACCACAAGUCUUAUUUAUUAUUUACAUUCUUCUCUAUCUAAGUAUAAUUUAAUAGUUGCACAUCAUACUAGUAAAAUUAAAUAAGGACAAUCUAGUCAAGUUAUACUAUCAAUAAUUGCUUUCUUAUUCUUUGUACCACAACCUAAAACUACAAACUUUCUGGAACGGAGGGAGUAUAUAAUUAAGCUAUAACCUAGGCAAUCCAUUGUUUUCUAGGUUUUUUAUUUCUAACGGUCAAUGACUUCUGAAUGUAUUCAUGAUUAAGUUUUUGGUUUAAACAAAUUUUUAUUAAAUAAGUUUUGUUUUUAAUUAUUAUUUAAAAGUUUUAUCAAUUCAAAACCUUUACGUAUUCUGCUACUGCUAUACACCUGUAUGAUCUCUUUAAGGAAUGAAUAAUUAAUGACUCCAUUAUAUGAGACUAUUGUAUAUUUUAAAAUAUUAUUUAAUCAGUCAUUGAUGUAAUGUGAUAAGUUGAGAUAUAGAGAAAAAUGAGAUUUAAAAUAAAUUUUUUAUUUUAGUCUUUUUGCAAACUUGGAUAAUGGAAAUUUUGAACCUAUUAUUCUAGUUGUGUAAUUCUAACUAUAUGUAAACUUUAUUUGUAAGGUGAAGUUAUGGACAUUGUACUUUUUAUUCAAUAUUACCUUAUAUAUAAUAUAAUAUAUAUUAUAUUGAAAUAACAUUAUUUAAUUUAUAGUGUCUAUACCGGUUAAAUUAUGGUUCAAUUACGGUUGAACCAGUGAACCUUGAACCAGUGCCCUCACCGGUUUGAUCACCGGUCCGGUUUUAAUAACCUUGUUCACACUUCAUCAUCCACCCACCCUUCAUCAUCCACUCAAUCCCAAAGGAAUUUUGAACAAUUCGACAAUACAUUUGAAACAUAAUUAAACCUCACUUUUUAUCCUCACAAUGAAUCCUCAAAAUCAUUCCACACUCCACACCCACAAUUAUCGUUUUCUUCUCUGCAGAAUCGAGCCUUUUCUUCUUCUUCUGGAGCGACUAAAAUUGAUGAGAAAAAAAUUCACGUGAACAUUACACCCUCAGUUGAUCACUAGGUUUGUGACUGGACCGUUAAUGAGUCAAAACUAAUGAAAAAGACUUAAUUCGAUUUUUUUUUAUAAGAAUGACAUUUCAAUUUUUUUUUCUUCAGGAAUUCAAUUUAAUUCCUCUUACAAUCUCGGAGACUCUAACCAUAUGUAAGCUAAAAUUAAUCCCACGAAUUUCCCCAAAACCGAUCGAUAAGAUGUUGACUGUCGUAUGUUUAACCUACCAUCCUUAAUCUCACACACAAACCCGUCCCAUUAAGAGCGGGGUGAGCUGGGCAAAACUCGCACCUACCCUGUUGUCAUGCAUCACAUUCAGAUUUAGAUCCCCCGGAGUUCAAUUCAAUAUCUUACUGGUCAUUUAAUUUUAACUGUAUUUUUUAUUAACAUUUUAUUGCAAUUAAAAAUAAAAAUCUAAGGCUUAAUAUCCUUGCAGUUGGAAACCAAACUGCAGAGGAUCGUCCAGUUUGUUGAAAAGUUUAUCCUUAUGAGCAUGAAGCUAACAUUUGCUAGAGAAAUGGUGAAUGAUAACACCCUAGAGCAUAACAUAGAUUAGAGUAAACAAACCUGAAGGAAGUACUAAUAUACAAUAAUUGUUGAAACUCUAAGGCCUAUCUACGUUAUGUUUAUAUUAUAGACUCAAAAUACCCCUUUGAUCCCAGCUUUUCCAUCCGUGCCUCAAAAAUUAAAUUUGUCCUUAUUGCAGACACACUUGUAGCACAUUAUUCAAAGCCAAUGUCUUCCCAUAUGUAAGUUUAAGAAGAAUUUUACUUUUCCAAGAGCUGGAGUAGUUUUUAAGUUUUUGAGAUGCACAUAUAUAUUCCUCUUCAUCCCUUACAAAAGUAUAGGAGGUAAAAGCAUCUUUGUUUGCACAAAUGUGUUUGGUAACUCUAGAGCCUACCAUCGAUUUCUUUACUAUCAGUCACAAUAUUCACUUGAGAAAUAAAUGCAUCAAUCACAUCUUCAUCAUCUCCUUCAGCCAAAUUUUCUCUUGGCUUAGGAGGAUUGUCAUUCUCCCUUUUACACCUGCACUGACGUGCAAAUGACACCUAACUAGUGUUACCUAUACUUUGGACUACGAUCCACCUCUCAAAGCUACUUUCUUCCACCAAUCUUCUUAACUUCCAUUAAAUUCAUUUAAAAGGUUCUUACUUUGUAUUUGAAAUUCCAUUAUAUUCAUUUAAAAGGACUUCUCCUUCAAAUGUGAAUUUCAGUUGGAAGUACUUUUGUUCUAACACGCACUAAUUCAUCUAUAAUGUUGAAAACUCCAAACAGGCACUAAUUAAGUCGUUUCAUACAAUCAUACUACUGAUAUUUUCAUGUAGUGUAUUAAAUAUAGUGGGUACGACAAGCAGUUGGCCUAGAGUAUGUCUCUGUUCAUUACCCUACAAUACUGGACAGAAUUAACAUAUAGAUGUGAUGGUAAAUAAAGUGGAAUUGAUUACAAUUAAUUAAAAAAUAGAGUACUUAUACACACACAGCAUAAACGCGUGAUAAAAAAUCGUUUAGCGGGUUUUUUAAAAGGUAAUUUUUUUUUUAAAUUAUGUGGUACCCUGAAUUUUUUUGGGUACGAUACCCCGACUAGAUGAAAUUGUGAAAUUGAAGGGCAGAGAAAGAGAGAAGCUUAGACAUUUUAACUUUUGUUGGAAUCUUAGACGUCGUGCCGGUUGUUGCAGCUCUUUUUAAGUUAGAAUCUAGUGGUCGAAGUGGAAAUGUAUGCGAUGUUAGAACAAGAGAGUUAUUGACCACAAUAAGAGUGAAAUAUAAAAAUUGGUGUCUGGCGAACGACAAGAUAAUGAGAUAAUCUGCUAAAAUGUUCAUGAAUGAAGAUGCUAGAGGCUUUUAGAAGUUAAAAAAAUUGGAGAUAAAGAGGUUUUAUGUCAUUUAAGGUAUCGUACCCUCAUUUAAAUUAAGAUACCACAGCAAGCACCAUUUUUUUUUGGUGUGGUACCCGAAUUAAGUAAUUUAAUAGAUUAUUAUCAUAUUAUUCAAGGUAAAUAAUACAUUUUUAGAUUUUACUUCACUUGUCAAUUGACUUUAUCUCAUGAAAUUCAUUUUUUAAUGAAAAAUGAACGAGUGGUGAAAACGAAUGAUGUUGUUGGAGAUGCACGUAAAAUGAUCAUAGUUAAUUGAUGAACAAAGCUCAGAAAAUACAACUCGCCUAUCUCAUGUCCCUAAGAAUGAAACACUGCAUUAUUAUGAUAUAACAAAAUCAAAAUUUUAAUCGAUACAUGAGUCUUUAUUAUUGAACCAGCUCAUUUUGGGUACCACACCCUAAUCUGACUUAAGGUACUAGAGCAAAUACCUUUUUAAAAUUCAGUAAAUAGACACAUUAAUUUUGUGGUUGUCUCUACCGCACUUCCAAGCCGCAAGAUUUAUUUUUUAGAUAAUCUAAAAAGUAUGGCGGUUUCAAUAUGCAUAUGUUGAUUAGUGAUCGAGAAUUCUUAUAUAUCUAUGAAACAUUACCUUUAAUAAUAUAUAGAUGUCAAAUACCAUUGCAAACAAAACGAUUAAUUUGUAGACAAAACCAUUGAAAAUUAUUAAUUUUCAAAUUAAUAAUUAUGAACACCCAAUUUUGUCAUACUUAAUAAAAUUUAAUAUAGCUUAUAUAUCUAAAAUAUAUAAAAAUCAGCACUCAAAAUUAUAACAAUAGUGAUUAAUUAAAUAAUUUCAGAAAUAAUAAUAAUAAUAAUUAAUUCAAAAAAGUAUACAUAAAUACUAAAAAUAAAAUUAGAUAAUUAUAGAAAAUGAUCAAAACAUUAAUUAGAGGGUUCAAAACUAAAUAGAAGAUUUUUUUAGUCAAGCAUUUGAUCUUCUUCUACAAGAAUAAUUGAGAAUGAUUCUAAGGAAAAAAAAUAGAAUGUGCUAAUUAAUUUAGAAAAAAUGAGGAAUAAAAUAUAUGGUGAAUCAAAGGAGGCUAGAGACAUCAAACCCUAGAUAUAAACAAUUAUAAAUAGAAGAGGUUCUUGGUGGUAGAGGCAUGUUCAAAGUGAGGGAGAAAUAGUUGAGUGAUCACUUGUGAGUUGUGCUCGAUGAUUUUGCUACCUAGGGAUAUCUCUUAUUUAUUUUAGAAUUGCAGUUCAAAGAUGAAACCACACCUCACAAGUGAUCACUCAACUAUUUCUCCCUAUGAACAUGUCUUUACCAUCAAGAACAUCCUCUAUUUAUAACCGCCUAUCUAGGGUUUGAUGCCUUUAGCUUCCCUUUGAUUCACCCUAUAUUUUAUUUCACAUUUCCUAAAUUAAUUAACAUAUUCUAAUUUUUCCCUAGAACCAUUCCCAAUUAUUCUUGUAGAAGAUACAAUGCUUGACUAAGAAAAUCUUCUAAUUAAUUUUGAAUCCUCUAAUUAAUGUACUGAUCAUUCUCUAUAAUUAUCUAAUUUUAUUUUUAGUAUUUAUUUUAUUAUUUUCGGAAUUAAUUAAUUAUUAUCAUAAUUUAUGAAAUUAUUUAAUUAAUCAUUAUUAUUAUAAUAUAAUUUUGAGCGCUGAUUUCAAUAGAUUUUUGUACUAAUUUAUUAUUUUAGCUUUUAAAAUACUCAUUUCACCUCAAGAAAAUGUCUAUUAUUUAUAGAUACUAAAUUUAAUUAAUAAAGAGAAAAUAAAUUAUUUAUAAAUUCGGCCUAACAAGCUUUGGAGCUUGUGCCUAGUAUCCCCUCAGUGCAAUGAGAUCUUCAAGGCCACAUAGUUCUUAGGGUUUAAAUAUGAUUUUAAUUUGGGGUGCCUGAUGGGAACCGCGUCCCGACUUACGAAUUAUCUUUAGAGAGACAUCAAGACAACGUAGUUCUGGAUGAAAGCUUGAUUUGAAAUGAUUGGUAAAAGCUUGAAGAAGCUUGAUUUUGAGAGGCUUAAAGAAGCCGAAAUUUGAAUUUGAAAGGCUUGAAGAAGCGGAAUUUGAUUGACUUAAAGAAGUUGUAACUUGAUUUUGAAAGGUUUGAAGAAGCCGAGAAUUGAUGAUUUUGAUUUGAAUAUGUAUUUAUGUUAUUAUUUUAAGUUAUUUAAUUUUAGGCACUUUAAAAUAGGUGAUAUAGUACUCUGUGUUUUAAUCAUAUAUAACUUGUAUAUUUUAAGGGAUUUUAUGUUUAGAGUUUCUUAUCUAACAUUUGUUUUCUAGGAUAUUUAUCUUCUAAUUUUUAAUUAAUAAUCCUAAUACUAAUUUUGUUAAAGGAAAUCAGAAAACAAAACCUAAUUUGAUAGACCUACGGCAGCGGUGCCGCAUCAACUUAAUUAUUUUAUGUUUUAAUCUAUUUUUGGUUUAUAUCUUAGAAUAUUUUAUGUAUUUGGGUCUUAUGUCAUAUCAGUAACUUUUAUAGUAACAAAUAUCUCUUUAAGAUUUUUAUCUUAGAAUUACUAACUAAAAUCUACGUUCAAAAACAAAAAAAUUAAACUAAAAUCUUAUGGCAGCACCGGCUGCACCUUCUUAUUUUUAUUUUAAGUAUUAUUUAACUAAUUAAUCCUAAUGUUUAAAGUAAACAAAAGGGAAUGGAAAUCCAUGUAAAACAACAAGCAAAAGGAAAAAGGGAAAGAAAUAAAAAGGUGGAGAAGAAACGAGAUUGAGGAGUAGAACGAAGGGGAAAAGAGGAGGGGCAAUGAGUCUUGGGGAACAUAUUUGAAGCAAAGAAGAAGUGUUUAUCCUUUACAUAAUUUAUUCAUCCUAUGUGUAAAACUUGGAUUGGAAUUUUGGGUGUAAUGACAGAUAUGGGGAGUUGGCAUGGUGGAAUUGAACUAAACAUGGCUUUGGUAUGUAUUCAUAUUAUUAUGAUUUCUUUCGUAACUACAAACCCACAAACAGUACGUGGACAUGGACAUAAAGAAGUUGAUUAGAGAAAUAAGAAAGGUACCUGGAUUGAAAUAAAGUAUGAUGAGUUCGAUAUAUAAUUCUUUUCUUCUUCUGUCUCACUACUUCUCUUAUCCGUCUAGCGUCUUGUCUCUCCCACACUCUUUUUAAAAUCAGGGUUUAAAGAUGGAACCCCAAUCCCCAAGUGUAUUGUCACUUUUUUCCCGCUCUCACUUGAUGACUCUCACAUUUUAAGCCCACAAGAGACACUCCUUUCUUUUCCCUCUCCCCAUGAACUUUCUACUAAGAACCUCCUCUAUUUAUAACCGUCUACCUAGUGUUUGGGGCCUCUAACCUCCUUUGAUUUACCCUAGAUUUCAUUCCUCAUUUCUUAAAUUAAAAAACAUAUUCUAACUAUUCCUCAGAAUCAUUCCUCAAUUAUUUUGUAGAGGGUCUUUAUUUAUUUCUUAAACAAAUCUCCUUAAUUAUUGUAUUGGUCAUCUAAUUUGUUUUUUUUAAUUUAUUUAUUAUUUCCGAAAUUAUUUAAUUAAAUAUUAAAUAUUAUUGAAAUUAUUUAUUUAAUUAUUAUUAUCAUAAUUUUGAGGGUUGAUUAUUAUAUAUUUUAAACAUAUAAGUUAUAUUAAACUAAUAUUAUUAAGGUAUGACAAAAUUAAGUGUUCACAAUAUUCCAAACAUAAACCAUGUCACGAUAUCGUUAAUUAGUGGGAGAAGAGGUCGCAAAUAGUUUGAUUUUAACUAUCAAUGCCUCUACAUAUGACAUUUAUGAAAAAUUGAAAGGUUCAGACACAUCUUAACUACUUUAAGUUUCAGAUGAAGCAACUAUAUAGAAUAGAGAGCGAUAAGGAUAAAACUCUAAAUCUCUGGUCAUAGAGGCUCUGACACCAUGUCAACAAUUAAUUAUCUUAAAAGUUUAAACUGUUAACUAAGAAUUAUAUAAAUAAUUUUAUAUCAUCAUUUCUAUCUGUAUUUAUCUCCACUAUACAAUAAUAUGAGAGCAUAUAUUACACAACUGAUUUAGAAAAAAGGAAAUCAAUAAACACUUCCUAGAAACUAAAUAUAUUAUUGUAAAUUACAAAAGUUGGAAUAAUUUUCAGAGAAUAGAUAAAAAAAAAAUUAGCUGCAUCGAAAAGCUACAAAACACACAGAACUACUAAGAGAGUCUCUUAACAUGAGAGCCUCCAGCUCAAAGGACGGAACAUCUAAGAUACAUAGGGGUAGACGUUAAUUUAUCCAUUGAGGUGUGACCUGACUUUAGCUUGAGAGGAAAGCGUGAGGAAGAUGACCUGAGAAACAAAUUCUGCUGAUUUAAUUGACGCUUUGGGGAGGCAGGAUGUGGAGCAAUUGUUUCAAGUCUUGGGUGAGAUCAGGGGCUUUUUGGCUAAAGAUUGGGAGGUGGUGCUUAGGCAGAUCACCUAGUUAAGGCUAGUUUAAUACACCAUAUUAGGCAUGAUAGUAUAAGGUUAUACAAUAUAUUAUGGACUUAUUAAUUGUUUGAUACUCACAUUGAAUUGUAUUAGACUUAUCCAUCAAUCCACUCUUAUAUACAUUAAAAUGAUGGAUUUUAAUCCACCCUAUAGAUGAUCGAUAAGACACGAUAAAAGUAUAAUGUAUAAACUACUUGAAAAUAUUUAAUCCACCACCACCACUCCCCACCACUACCAUCGCCGCCACCGCCGCAACCACCACCACCGCUCCACCACUGCACAAUCGUUGCUACUGUCAUCGUUAUCACCACUACUACUACCACCACCACCAUCCUUAUUUGGGGUGUUACAAUCCCCAUUGCAACCACCAUUGUCGCCACCAUCGCCACAGCCAAAGCCACCACGCUCCACCACUGCCACUAUCGUCGCUACAACCAUUAGUACCACCAUCCCCGCUGCCGCCACCACCACCUUUCAAUACGACCACUACCACCAUCACUACCUACCGCCACAACCCACACCUAUGUUGCCACAGCCACCUCCCUCCAUCGCCGCCACAACUCAGCAUCAUCACUACCACCUCUACAACACCGCCACAACCCACCCUCCAUUAUUGCCACCAACACUACCACCACCCAUCACCACUAUCUUUACCACCCAUUAACACCAUCAUGAUACUUUGUGGGAAAAAAAUCUAUGUGGACAGUGAGCCCCAUACCGUGGGGCCAAACUCAUAAUUGAGUGAUGAAGGCAGGGGUAGUUUUGUCAUCUGAGUAUCCACUGGAUCUCCUUAACUGUCUCGGUUGAUUGAUAUAAACAGACGCGUCCCCUCUACACGAUUUCACAGCUCCACCAUUUUUCCUCUUCUCAUCAACUUUCACUCAACGAGAGGAGACCCACCUUUUUCUUUCCUUCCAUUUUCCUCUCAAAUCUCCUUCUAUUCCUCUCUGGAUUCGCUACCAAUUUGUAAGUUUGUUUUUCUCUCUCUCUCUCUCUCUCACUCUUUCUGUAUAUUUGUUUUGAGUUUCCGUGGUGUGUUUUCAUGAUCUUGCUUGUGCCCAUUUCCAUUUGAUCAUUUUUUGAUUGAAAGAAUUCAGCUUUUGGCAAAUCAGUGUUUUCUGUGAUCUGGGUAUUGCUCCUUUUUUAUGGAUCUGUGAUGAAUUGUAAGAUCAUGUUUUUCUCUGUUCAUAAUUGUCAUGCUUGAUUCCCAAGUGAACAUUUCAACUGGUGAUUGUGUAAAAAAUAGAUCCGUGUUCUUAUUUAUGCUUGAAUCUGUGCAAUGUGUUUCGUAGCAUGUUGUUGUGAUUUUGAAGGUUUUCUUUUGGGGUUGAAUUUUCUGCGUUCAAUGUUGUGUUGUUUUCCUUUUCCUCCAUUGAUCUUGCAAAAUGGAAUUUUCCAGCAAGUGAUUGAUUAAGAAUGUAACAUUUUGUUCAGUCAUUCGUUAACUAAAUGAAGAAAGUAUUGUUAGAAUAUAAUAUAAAAUCAUUCAUUUGGCCCUUACCCAAUAGCUUAAGCUUUUGGGAUAAGUGGUUAUUUGAUAAAUAUUAGAUUUCUUUUACUUUUUCUUAUUUCACUUGAAGUUAUAGAAAGCUUUGAUGCUAUAGUGCACUUAUGGCGCCUUUCUCCUGUGAUGAGGUUUUAAAACUAUACAUCCUGCUAACUCCCCGAAACCGGGUACUAUUAAGCUAGUCUUGUGCAGUUGUGCUUUAAUAUCUCGUAGGUUAUUCAAUUUCUGUUGUUAUGGCUAUAGUCUGGUUUAUUUUUUCUUCGUGAGAUUGUUUUGUAAAAUGAUAUUCUGUUCACUUUUGCUGUUUGUGGUUUCAAUUGAUAAAUUUGUGUUUUGUUUCUGUUUUAUUGUAGAAGUUGCCUGACAUGGCUUCAUAUACCCCAAAGAAUAUCCUUAUUACUGGGGCUGCUGGGUUCAUUGCCUCUCAUGUUGCCAACCGGCUUGUCAGGACCUAUCCAGACUACAAAAUUGUUGUGCUCGAUAAACUCGAUUAUUGUUCCAAUCUGAAGAACCUCCUUCCUUCCAAAUCAUCUCCUAACUUCAAGUUUGUGAAGGGGGACAUUGGUAGUGCUGAUCUUGUCAACCACCUUCUUAUCACCGAGUCCAUUGAUACUAUAAUGCACUUUGCUGCUCAAACACAUGUUGACAACUCCUUUGGUAAUAGCUUUGAGUUCACCAAGAACAACAUAUAUGGAACUCAUGUCCUAUUAGAAGCCUGCAAGGUAACUGGACAAAUCAGAAGGUUCAUUCAUGUCAGCACAGACGAGGUGUACGGGGAGACAGAUGAGGAUGCUGUUGUGGGAAACCAUGAGGCUUCCCAACUUCUUCCAACAAACCCAUACUCUGCAACAAAGGCUGGGGCUGAAAUGCUUGUUAUGGCAUAUGGUACGUCAUAUGGUUUACCUGUCAUCACAACUCGUGGGAACAAUGUUUACGGGCCAAAUCAGUUUCCUGAGAAGUUAAUUCCAAAGUUCAUCCUACUGGCCAUGCAAGGAAAGACUCUUCCAAUUCAUGGGGAUGGUUCAAAUGUGAGGAGUUACUUAUAUUGUGAAGAUGUUGCGGAGGCAUUUGAAGUUAUCCUUCAUAGGGGAGAGGUUGGUCAUGUCUACAAUAUCGGGACAAAGAAGGAAAGGAGAGUUAUUGAUGUGGCCAAAGAUAUAUGCAAUCUUUUCUCAAAGGAUCCAGAAACAAGUAUAAAAUUUGUAGAUAAUAGACCAUUUAAUGACCAGAGGUACUUUCUCGACGAUCAAAAGCUGAAGGUUUUGGGUUGGUCUGAGAGGACCACUUGGGAAGAGGGCCUGAAGAAAACCAUGGAAUGGUAUACACAAAAUCCUGAUUGGUGGGGUGAUGUCACAGGAGCGUUGCUUCCUCAUCCAAGGAUGCUGAUGAUGCCUGGUGGGAUGGAGAGACAUUAUGAAGGAUCUGAAGGUGAAAACCCUGCUUCCUUGGCUUCAAGUAAUACUCGAAUGGUUGUUCCGUCAUCCAAGAGCAAUGGUACUCAGCAGAAACCUCCUUUUAAGUUCUUGAUCUAUGGUAGAACAGGGUGGAUUGGAGGUUUGCUGGGGAAACUGUGCGAUAAGCAAGGAAUUCCAUAUGAAUAUGGAAAGGGGCGCCUAGAGGAUCGCUCCUCAGUGGUGGCUGACAUUAAUAAUGUGAAA